rnacentral:rRNA from 1 species
UAGGGAAUAUUGGACAAUGGGGGCAACCCUGAUCCAGCCAUGCCGCGUGAGUGAAGAAGGCCCUCGGGUUGUAAAGCUCUUUUGUCCGGAAAGAAAAGCUUCGGGUUAAUACCCCGGGGUUCUGACGGUACCGGAAGAAUAAGCACCGGCUAACUUCGUGCCAGCAGCCGCGGUAAUACGAAGAGUGCAAGCGUUACUCGGAAUUACUGGGCGUAAAGCGUGCGUAGGUGGUUGUUUAGGUCUGAUGUGAAAGCCCUGGGCUCAACCUGGGAAUGGCAUUGGAAACUGGGCAGCUAGAGUGCGGUAGAGGGUAGUGGAAUUCCCGGUGUAGCAGUGAAAUGCGUAGAGAUCGGGAGGAACAUCUGUGGCGAAGGCGACUGCCUGGACCAGCACUGACACUGAGGCACGAAAGCGUGGGGAGCAAACA